GGCUUAGGAUGAACGCUAGCGGCAGGCUUAACACAUGCAAGUCGAGGGGCAGCGGGAUGAGCAAUACAUUGCCGGCGACCGGCGGAUGGGUGCGUAACGCGUAUGCAACCUACCUUAUACAGGGGAAUAACCUUUCGAAAGGGAGACUAACACCCCAUGGUAUUGAUUUAAGGCAUCUUAGAUUAAUUAAAUAUUUAUAGGUAUAAGAUGGGCAUGCGUAUGAUUAGCUAGUUGGUAAGGUAACGGCUUACCAAGGCGACGAUCAUUAGGGGUUCUGAGAGGAAGGUCCCCCACACUGGUACUGAGACACGGACCAGACUCUUACGGGAGGCAGCAGUGAGGAAUAUUGGUCAAUGGGCGCAAGCCUGAACCAGCCAUGCCGCGUGCAGGAAGACGGCCUUAUGGGUUGUAAACUGCUUUUACAUAAGACUAACCGUAUAUUUGCGAAUAUACCUGAAUGUAUUAUGAGAAUAAGGAUCGGCUAACUCCGUGCCAGCCGCCGC
rnacentral:rRNA from 1 species